CUGUUGUCCGCUGUCCUGUCACGGAAUCUUAGAAUCAUGAAGGUUGGAAAAGACCUCUAUGAUCCUCUCGUACAAUCGUCCACCUACCGCCAAUACUGCCCACUAACCGUGUCCCUCAGUGAUGCAUCAUAUCUCCACGUUUCUUGAAUGCCUCCAGGGACGGUGCCUCCUGAGGCAGCCUGUUCCAAUGUAUCGCCACUCUUCCUGAGGAGACAUUUUUCCUGAUGUUCAAUCUGACUCCUCACAGUGAGCCCUCUUCCUUCCCCAAGGCCCCAGAGGUGAUAGGGGACCAGGGCUGCCUACCACCAAAGUGCCACGGGUUGGUUGUGGUGGUGCAGGUGCUUUAUGUGUGGGGCAGGUGAAUGAGGGCCCAAUUCAUGUCACACCAAAGGGAGUGGGAGAAAAGUCAAGGGAAUAGGUGGGGUCUUUUACUGGAGCAACAGAUAAGCACACACUUCGAGGGAAGACCAGACCUCCGCUUUCCAGCAAACACCCUCCAGAGCUGUAAGUGAAGUGGCAGCAUUCACGGCUAAGCUGAAAGUAAUUGUGCUAAUAUUUUAAUGGCCUACUUGCCACUGAAAAUGAUUGAACACCCGACAAAUGAUGAUCAGGAACCAAGGCAAGAUGACCACCUUCAGUGGGUACAACGGCGGCCAUGUGCUCCUGCGGCAGGAGGGAGCAGGGUGGUCUACAGCUCCUGGCCCUGCAGAGCCCAUACUUCUGUUAUUCAACAAAAAGCUGCAGGUUCCCCUUGGGAUUCUAGUAGAACUGAGCUUAAAAGUGUGCUCUCGAGGAUCAGCCCCGGGAGCUGAGAGAAGUGCUCCCUCAGAGAGAUCUGGCAGUUCUACUUGUUGCUGUCAGCACUUGUAGCUAUGUAAGUCCAUGUACUCUUCUCAUCUGUGAGCAGCUGUACUGGGAGAAGCACAGUGGGUCCCAGGGAACGCAGGAGAGGGGCCAGAAGCUCUGACGUGGUGGGGACUGCCUGAUCUGGCAAGCAGCGGGAGGUACAGUGUGAAGUUUCUGGCGUAGGCAUAACUUGAGUGUGUUUGACACCUGGCGGUCCACAGGGAAUGUGCUUCACAUAGCAACAGAGAGAUGCAGAGGCGGGUGCUGGAUGCUGGGGCUGGCUGAGAACUGCUGUGGGAAAACUUUAUUGAAGGUAGAAUGGUCUUUCAGCACAGGAAGUUCUCAGGAAGCUCUCAAUCAUUUCCUGAGGUGGGAUGGAGCUGACCGCAUGUUCCUGCUGAGAAUGCAUAUUCAGCAAGGAGGUAAUUUUGUGGCUGUUCCACAUCCACAGUGAACUCAGAUGUGCUCCCACACGUGGAGGAAGAAAAGGAGAACAUGUCUGCCUGUGCUGCAUCCCUUUCUCUCACCCCAGCAUCAUCAUCAAGGGUGCACCAGCCAUGGGAGGGCACCCCAUGAGCUCACUGACAGAACAGAUGCUGUGUCUCCUUGCCGUGAUCCCCACAUUUGCGUCACUCUGUGCUUAGUGAAGUGGCUUUAAGCAAACUUGUGCUAAAGCUUUCCCACCACAGCAGAGUGAAGCUUGCUGAUUCUUCUCAGGCAUUUUCCAUAUUUCACUGGCCAGUGCUUGGUACAGCAAGUUCGGUAAAUGUUUGUAAAUCAGUCUUCAUGAUAAUACUGUCGUUUAUUUUUAGCUUGUUCCCACAGAGCUCUAUGAUCUAAUCCGUGCUCAGACUCCACUGUAAUAAGCUAAAGAAACCGAGCUUCUUCCGUCUUUCUGUCGAGGAGAAAUUUUCCAGACAGUUUUGUAGCUCUUCUCACAAAUCAUGUUGAGAGCAUCCUUUUCAAUUUUUCCUUCGUUGUGGCUGCAUUAAAAAGAUUGAUCCUGGUUGCAUCUCCGUUGAACUGGAGGGAAGGACACAGUCACCUUUAUUACGCUGUCAGAGAAGCAAAAAGACUUCUGUCUCCUCUUUCCAGGCCCUCGUUGCUGCUGAAGCUGUCAUGGAGAAGAUCGUGGUGUUGAAACUUAAACACACAGGUUGCUCUGAAAGUAAUGCCUCAUAUUUUUUUUUUUUCCAUGGAAACCACAAGAGAUACAAAGAGCACAAUAAUACCAUUUAAUAGAGCAAAUUCUCAGCUACAAAGAACUGUUUUUCAGCAUUGUCACUACUAGUAGCUAUGCAUUUUUGCCAGCAAUGAACAAGACCCUGCAUACUGUACUCCUAAAAAUCUGCACUGGUGGAGGUGACCCACUGUCACUGUUGCCACUGCCGAAAUGCACCACCCACCAUCUCAUUGUGCUCUCAUCCACUGUUUGGUCUCCAUAAACAUUCAGCAAGCGUUGAUGAGUGUCAAUGGGUGCCAUAUUUUCUGCACGGAGGAAUUCAGUGACACCUUUGCUUCAUAUGCGCUUCCAUGUCAGAUGCCAUUUGGUCAGACAGCUCUGCUGCUGCCAUCUGUCACAUGGCAACAAGAGUAAUGGAAUAUUGGUGGGAAGGUUCAACCUCUGCUGCUGUACCACCAAGAUCCACAUCUGACAACAUCAUGGACUGAUAUAAUACAAUAGGAGCCAUUACUUUUGGAACAGCCCUUGUACAUAAAAAGAGUACUUUCUAUCAAAGAUCAGAAAGACAGUAUUUUGUGUAUAGGUAUUAAUAUGUAACUACCAAAUACGUUUGAUGAAGAGGGAAUUCUGCACAUUCACUUACCUACCAGUGAGUGAACCUGGAUCAACAGGGACAGAGCUCUGUGUUUUCAAAAAGACAGAAGCCAUGCUGAGAGGAGAAUUCUAUAUUUAAACUUGUAUCAUUUCAGUCUGUCGAGUAUUAAAUCAUUUUCAGCAUCUAGAUUUAUCAGCAAGUCUAGACUGUGAUUAUCAUGAUUAAAACCAUACAUUCAAUUAUUACUUCCAUUAAGUGGAGGAGAUGCCCUCCUCAAUUUUUACGCCAGAGUGCAAGAGGAAUUUCUUUUGGUAGGUAGCACAAGUCAGGUUAAGUUUCCACUGUAAAUUUGACUGAGGUGCUCACAGUGAUCGCUUAAGAUAAUAUACUCAUUUAAGUCCUAAUGCUCCAUUUUUCUGUUUGGCUGUAGCCAGUUCUUCAGCUGGAGUAAACAGGAAAGAAAGAAAAUGGUUCUCUUACAUGUAUUGCUGUUUGCUGCUGUUUCCUGCUCUCAAGCCACCAUAUCUUACCUUUUUUGUUGAGCUCUAUCAGAGUUUUCCAAGUAGAUUUAGAAUCCAGAAAGCUUUAUCUGGAUUGGAGAUAGUGUUAGUACAAAUCUUAGGUGAUAUGGAAGCUUAGAAUUUAAUAAAAAAUUCUCAUCACAUAAUAAUAGCUAAAAGAAUGGAUUGGAAAGCCAGAAUUUUCAGAGCCUCACAAGGAAAAAAUAAAGUAAAAUAAAAUAAAAUAAAAUAAAAUAAAAAUAAUAAAUCAAUUUUUCAUUUUCAAAUAUUUAAGGAUUUUCUUUUCUUAAACUGUACCAUUAAAGCAGCAAUCCCAUUAAUUUAGUGAUACAGAUUCACCAUUCUUCUAUCCUCUUGAAGACUCUGCAUUAACAUUAGUUGUAAACCCUUGCCGAGGCUUUCAGUACUGGAGAUAUGUUUCAACCUGAUUUAUGGCCAGUUUUUUGACCAAAUGAAAAUGCAUCCUGUAAUGUAAAACAUAUUUCUAAAACAGUUGUCAUAUUCCUUAUACCAGAAACUGAAUAAAUUUAUAUCAGAGCCAAGUACAAGAAAAUAAUUACAUCAGUUACAUUUUUCUCCUGUCAUACAGUUAAGAUCCUUUCUGCAGUAUAUCUGGAUCUCUCCAUUUUCCUUCUCACACGGUAGACCUCCACUCAGUAGUCUCUACGUAGCAGUGCUGCAUGCUUCAUUAAGUUUCUGCAUAAACAUGAGUGCAUGCUUAUGCUUUAUUGACUUAAGGGGAACUGGAUGGCAGUGUUGAAACUAAGCAUGUGUUCGGGUUGAACUGAGACUCAGGCUAACUUGGGGAUGCACUGCUAACAGCAAGUAGUGGUCAACUUUUGCAGCUCUCACAUUUUCCAACAGCCAAAAACACUAACCUCACUGCUCCAAAGCUAGCCUUUAUCAGUACUUCCUAAAUCACUGUAUUGCAACCAAAAAUGUAAUGACAGCCCUGAAACAUAACUAACAAAUAUCACAGAAUCAUUUAGGCUUGGAAAGACCUUGGAGAUAUCAAGUCCAACCAUAAUAUUUCUAUCAGCUUUCUCUGAACCUUUUCCUGUCUGUACUGUUGAAGAUGAUCACGUGUGAUGGGAUCAUUUAGUACCUAAAGGGGAGCUAUAAAAAAAGGGGGGGGAUAGACUCUUCAGUGGGGUCUGUUGUGAUAGGAAAAAGGGAAAUUGUUUCAAAUUAAAAGUAGGGAUACUUAGUCUCGAUAUAAGGAAAAGUAUGAUAGUGAAGCACUACAACAGGUUGCCCAGAGAGGUGGUAGAUACCUCAUCCAUGGGGACGUUCAAGGUCAGGUAUGUGCAACCUGAUCUAUCUGUAGGUGUCCAUGUUCAUUGCAGGGGAGUUGGACUAGAUGAGCUUUAAAGAUCGCUUCCAACUCAAUUGAUUCUAGGAUCCAGUUAUCAUUCUAUGGCAAAACAUUAAUUUUCACUCUUUCCCUCACAGUUUCUCUGCGCUGAGCAGAGGAACUAUCACGGAACUAUCGCAGCUCCAAAGCCAAGUAAUCCCAAAUUAUUGUCUGUACACAGUGUUUUUAACCAGCUAAACUCAAUAGCAGACUUUUUAUGCAAUCAGUUUUAGGACUCAUGCAUGUCCUUCCACAAAUUCCCUUCUCCUUUCCCUGUUCUUCACAUCUUCUCAUUGCAGAACGCUAGCAUGACUAGAAGAAAUGGUUGACUCUAACUCAGAGCAAUGAACAGCAUCAAGAUUUCAAAUUUGUUCUUGCACAAGAAAACACAUUAACAAACCUGUGUGAAAUGUAUCUCUCACAGGCAAACCUUUAAAGACAACUACAGUGUGAAGCCACAUCAUUUUGUAUUGAGGAAAUUCAAUCAAGAGUUCUUUGGUUUAACAUCUGUUAUCAACAAGAUAUAACACAGAGGAAAGAGAGCCUAAACAAAGAGGAAAACUCAAUAUUUAAUCUUCCAGUUUUCUAAGAUGGAAUUCAUAAAAGCCUACCAUCACCCAAGGAACACCCUUAGAAUACCCAUUUGGUAUUCACCAAAUACAGCUUCUUUGGUUUUAAGUACUUGUAGAAACAUUGGCAGCUGUUUUCUGACUGAGCAUUUGGCAAUUGCAUACUGGAAGCUGUAAUUUUCACUUGCCUCCCUCAUCACAAGCUUCCAGAAUCUGAUGACCAACACUUCCACCCAUCUUGUGACCAAGAUUUCCAAAAACUUUGACAAUGGAUCUCUCAGCUGGGCUCCCUAAGCAGCUGUUCCGAUGCCUUCCCACUCUUUCUGAAAAGAAAUUUUCCAAACUGAAACCAAUCUGAGCUUGGUCCACAUAUUUAAGGAAACUAGUCUAUAGGAGGAGGAGACAGUACUUCUGAGAAAACAACAGCAACAACAACAAAAACACAAGACAAGAACAACAACAACAAAAGCCAUUUGAACUCAGGUUCAAAAAAACUUCUGUGGAAGACCUGUGAAGACAAAAACAAAAACUAGCUGAUCCUGUAACUCAUAUUAAAGCACUUUCUAAGCAUAUGAAUGUCUGGUACUUUAAAACACAGUCAUUAAGUUGAAUACUUAUUUUUACACAACAGCCAUAUAACAUCAUGUAUUACAUUGCCUCAAUAUAUUUGACGUUGGCAGCAAAAAUGCAAUAGAUAUACAUACCUUUGUGCAUACACUCUUAACUGAAUUUGCUUGCCAGCAUUGUCCCAGUCCUGUGUGACGUGAUGGUAGUUGGCUAAUCAGCCAGCUCUCUCCCAUGAUGCAAUUUACAACACAGACUUAAUGAGUGAGUAUGUUGGAUGUUUCAAACCAGUUAGCGUCAGUAGGUUUCAAAAGGCAUUGCCCCAGUCUUUAUCUUUUCCCCAUAAUCUUCUUAAUAACCUCACGAGUACUAUAAAUAAAGGAG
ensembl:lncRNA